rnacentral:rRNA from 1 species
GUAGCUAACGCGUUAAGUGUUCCGCCUGGGGAGUACGCACGCAAGUGUGAAACUCAAAGGAAUUGACGGGGGCCCGCACAAGCGGUGGAGUAUGUGGUUUAAUUCGAUGCAACGCGAAGAACCUUACCAGGGUUUGACAUCCUGAGAACCUCUUAGAAAUUUGAGGGUGCCUUCGGGAAUUCAGUGACAGGUGGUGCAUGGCUGUCGUCAGCUCGUGCCGUGAGAUGUUGGGUUAAGUCCCGCAACGAGCGCAACCCACGUUUUUAGUUGCCAGCAUUUAGUUGGGCACUCUAGAAAGACCGCCGGUGAUAAACCGGAGGAAGGUGUGGAUGACGUCAAGUCAUCAUGCCCCUUACACCCUGGGCUACACACGUACUACAAUGCUACGGACAAAGGGCAGCAAACUCGCGAGAGCUAGCAAAUCCCAUAAACCGUGGCUCAGUUCAGAUCGUAGGCUGCAACUCGCCUACGUGAAGUAGGAAUCGCUAGUAAUCGCAGGUCAGCAUACUGCGGUGAAUACGUUCCCGGGCCUUGUACACACCGCCCGUCACACCAUGGAAGUUGGCCAUGCCCGAAGUCGUUACUCCAACCCUUGUGGAGGAGGACGCCGAAGGUGGGGCUAAUGACUGGGGUGAAGUCGUAACAAGGUAACCGUA